GACGGAGGGUGCUAGCGUUGUUCGGAAUUACUGGGCGUAAAGGGCUCGUAGGCGGCCAACUAAGUCAGACGUGAAAUCCCUCGGCUUAACCGGGGAACUGCGUCUGAUACUGGAUGGCUGGAGUUUGGGAGAGGGAUGCGGAAUUCCAGGUGUAGCGGUGAAAUGCGUAGAUAUCUGGAGGAACACCGGUGGCGAAGGCGGCAUCCUGGACCAAUAUUGACGCUGAGGAGCGAAAGCCAGGGGAGCAAACGGG
rnacentral:rRNA from 1 species